GGCCACGUGGCCCAAUGGCAAGGCGCUUGACUACGAAUCAAGAGAUUCCAGGGUUAGUAAAUUAUCACACACAUAGCACACGAAUUAAGGUCUAACAUUCCUAACAGUUCGACCCCUGGCGUGGUCA